AUUUAAAUAGCUUAUAUUUAGAGUUUAAUAUUGAAGAUAUUAAGGAGAUUGUUUUAAUCUUUAAAUA
rnacentral:tRNA from 1 species